rnacentral:rRNA from 1 species
GACGAACGCUGGCGGCGUGCUUAACACAUGCGAGUCGAACGGAAAGGCCCUGCUUUUGUGGGGUGCUCGAGUGGCGAACGGGUGAGUAACACGUGAGUAACCUGCCCUUGACUUUGGGAUAACUUCAGGAAACUGGGGCUAAUACCGGAUAGGAGCUCCUGCUGCAUGGUGGGGGUUGGAAAGUUUCGGCGGUUGGGGAUGGACUCGCGGCUUAUCAGCUUGUUGGUGGGGUAGUGGCUUACCAAGGCUUUGACGGGUAGCCGGCCUGAGAGGGUGACCGGCCACAAUGGGACUGAGAUACGGCCCAGACUCCUACGGGAGGCAGCAGUGGAGAAUAUUGCACAGUGGGCGGAAGCGUGAGGCAGCAGCGCCGCGUGCGGGAUGACGGCCUUCGGGUUGUAAACCGCUUUCGCCGGUGACGAAGCGUGAGUGACGGUAAUGGGUAAAGAAGCACCGGCUAACUACGUG